rnacentral:rRNA from 1 species
GACGAACGCUGGCGGCGUGCUUAACACAUGCCAGUCGAACGGAAAGGCCCUGCUUUUGUGGGGUGCUCGAGUGGCGAACGGGUGAGUAACACGUGAGUAACCUGCCCUUGACUUUGGGAUAACUUCAGGAAACUGGGGCUAAUACCGGAUAGGAGCUCCUGCUGCAUGGUGGGGGUUGGAAAGUUUCGGCGGUUGGGGAUGGACUCGCGGCUUAUCAGCUUGUUGGUGGGGUAGUGACUUACCAAGGCUUUGACGGGUAGCCGGCCUGAGAGGGUGACCGGCCACAUUGGGACUGAGAUACGGCCCAGACUCCUACGGGAGGCAGCAGUGGGGAAUAUUGCACAAUGGGCGGAAGCCUGAUGCAGCAACGCCGCGUGCGGGAUGACGGCCUUCGGGUUGUAAACCGCUUUCGCCUGUGACGAAGCGUGAGUGACGGUAAUGGGUAAAGAAGCACCGGCUAACUACGU